UUACCUUGUCCAACAUAUUUAUGGUUAUCUAGUAUUCUAUUGUAUGGAUAAUACAUUCAAGAAGGCCUCUAUUAUUGGACAUUCAGAUUGUUUUUGAUGUGUUGUUUCCAGUAACACCACAAUAAACCUGUACGCAUAUAAAUGUUUUUGUACAUCUUUCUUUCUCUGAAAUAAAUUCACAGAAAUUGAAUUUCUGGAUGAAAGGGUAUAAAAGAUUUUAAUACAUAUUUCCAAACUGUCACCUAGGAGACCUUUAUCAAUUUACAUUCUCACCUAGAAUGUUUCAGCAUGCCUGUUUCUCUAGGUCCUAAGGCAUUAUUAUUUUGGAAUUUUUAAUAAGUAGUGAAUAGUAUUAUGCCUAUCUAGUUUUCAAUUCUAUUUUUUGAUUAAUGAUAUUGACCGUUUUCUAAAUCUUUAUUGAUCCAAUGACUUUAUUAAGGGCCCAGACAUAACAAUCAGUCUCCAGCCAAGCAGACCAAAAGUUAACAGAUCUGUUCAUCAGGGAUUCACUUUUGGAUUCCCCCCAUGUCCAAAGGAGGAACAUUAGAAGGACCAGCAUUUGCACACGAACCCAAUUCACUCUGCUUCUAGAUCAUGAAGGAAAUAUGAAGACAUCCUUCUUGAUUUGCAGGAAUGCCUAGAAGUACUCAUACUCCCAUCACAGGAAGGUGAAAACAGCCAAGCCACUAAAUGCUCAACCCUUGAUAACUUGUGACAAUGGAGUCUACAUAUUUUGCUAAGGUCUCACUUGUAUGCCAAGCAUUUGCCCCGCAAUAUUCUUUCAUGAUUUCUGCCAUCUACAGAAUUUUGUCCUUUUUUUCAAGGCCACAACAAGUAACAUAUCAUUCAAAUAAACAUGAGACAAUUGGGUAAUGACCAGAAUAAUAGAAAUCAACAGCUGACAAUGAGACUAAAGUUCAUUUUGCCCUCCUCAUUUCUCUCUCACCUUCCACCCCCUGAAUCUUGUAAUUUUAGUGUAUGUGUGCCCACACUGCAG